AAUACUAGUAGCUUAAUGUAAAGCUCUCUACUGAAAAUGGAGGAGAUGAUUUAUUAUUCCUGUGUUA
rnacentral:tRNA from 4 species